AUGUCUGGCAACGCGGUUCCUGGACCUACUACUUCUCAAGGGAGCCGCCUUCGGUCUGGAGGUAGCAGAUGGGACAUUCCUCCAGCUGGGGGAUCUCGUGGUAUGCGUUCCCAUCCUCACGGGGUUCUUCGCUAUCGUCCUGGUUCUUCCACCUGGAAGCGUGACAGCAGCACCAUUCAAAUGGGUAGUACCAUUAAUUUGACUGGAAUCAAAGGAAAGAAUUUGGGAAGCAUGGAUUUAGACACCAAUGUUGUAAAAGGCGGAUCAGCUAUGGCCUUUGGCCAAGAGAAAGGAGGAAAUUAUGAUCCAUGGCCCUUGCGAUCUCCUUCGCAGGCUGUCAGUACAGGUACAGUUAGUGCCCGCCAAGAGGCUUUCUCUCCUGCUGCCAUUGAUCGCCUCCACCACAUGGAUUUCGAUGUUGGUCAAGAUAUGUGUGGUUCCGAAGCUCAAAGAACAAUGGAGAAUCUGAAUGACUUUAAUAACUCUUGCCAAGGGGACAAAGCGGCUUUCAGGAAUGAUCAGUUGGGAGAAGACAUGGAGUUUGACUCUGAAGCAGAAAAGAACAUGACUGAUUCUUUUUCUCGGGCAGCGGCGCAUGGCCCUAACGCGCCUCGGGCGCCAUGA
rnacentral:rRNA from 1 species